rnacentral:rRNA from 1 species
UACGAAGGGUGCAAGCGUUACUCGGAAUUACUGGGCGUAAAGCGUGCGUAGGCGGUUUGUUAAGUCCGCUGUGAAAGCCCUGGGCUCAACCUGGGAAUUGCAGUGGAUACUGGCAAGCUAGAGUGCGGUAGAGGAUGGUGGAAUUCCCGGUGUAGCGGUGAAAUGCGUAGAGAUCGGGAGGAACACCAGUGGCGAAGGCGGCUUCCUGGCCUGUUCUUGACGCUGAGGCGCGAAAGCUAGGGGAGCAAACGGG